UCCUUGGGAAAUUUAUCGUCU
ensembl:piRNA 21ur-641 ncRNA